GCCUGGGAUAGCUCAGUUGGUAGAGCAUGAGACUUUUCAUCUCAAAGUCAUGGGUUCAAGCCCCACAUUGGGCA